rnacentral:rRNA from 1 species
CAGCAGCCGCGGUAAUACGUAGGGUGCGAGCGUUAAUCGGAUUUACUGGGCGUAAAGCGUGCGCAGGCGGCCCGUUAAGACAGGUGUGAAAUCCCUGGGCUCAACCUAGGAAUUGCGCUUGUGACUGGCGGGCUCGAGUACGGUAGAGGGGGGUGGAAUUCCUGGUGUAGCAGUGAAAUGCGUAGAGAUCAGGAGGAACACCGAUGGCGAAGGCAGCCCCCUGGGCCUGUACUGACGCUCAUGCACGAAAGCGUGGGGAGCAAACAGGAUUAGAUACCCUGGUAGUCCACGCCCUAACCGAUGGGUACUAGCCGUUUGGUGCGCGAUAGCGCUGAGUGGCGAAGCUAACGCGUGAAGUACCCCGCCUGGGGAGUACGGCCGCAAGGUUGAAACUUAAAGGAUUGGCGGG